GUAGUAGCCUUCGGUUUCGCCGCAACUUUAGCCUUUGCCUUCACAGGCGUUGCAACUUUAGCUUUCGCUUUCGCUUUCGACGCGGUUUUAGUCGCCUUCGGCUUGGACUUUGCGGCGGUAGUGGUAGUUGCAGAUUUAGGCUUCGCGGCGGCAGGUUUCUUAGCUACGGCGGCUGGUUUCUUAGCUGCGGCAUAAGCCGAAGGCAGCUUAAAAGAGGCUUUCACUUUUACGAGCUUUCCGGAAGCAACAAACUUCUUCGUCUGAACAAGUAAGACUUUGCGGAAAUUCGCCGGUAAUUGCUUAUGCUUCUCUUCAAUGAAUUUCGCAAUCGCAUAUUGGCUCGAUCCUGUCCUCUCUUUCAACGAAACGAUUGCAUCUGAAAUC
rnacentral:lncRNA from 1 species